rnacentral:rRNA from 1 species
AGCAAAGUCACUUUCCCUUCGGGGCAUUGGAGACAGGUGGUGCAUGGUUGUCGUCAGCUCGUGUCGUGAGAUGUUGGGUUAAGUCCCGCAACGAGCGCAACCCCUAUUUCCAGUAGCCAGCAAGAAAGAUGGGAACUCUGGAGAGACUGCCCGGGAUAACUGGGAGGAAGGCGGGGAUGACGUCAAAUCAUCAUGCCCCUUAUGAUCAGGGCUACACACGUACUACAAUGGCGUAAACAAAGGGAAGCGAAGUGGUGACACGAAGCAAAUCCGAAAAACAACGUCUCAGUUCGGAUUGUAGUCUGCAACUCGACUACAUGAAGCUGGAAUCGCUAGUAAUCGCGAAUCAGAAUGUCGCGGUGAAUACGUUCCCGGGUCUUGUACACACCGCCCGUCACACCAUGGGAGUCGGAAAUGCCCGAAGUCAGUGACCCAACCGAGAGGAGGGAGCUGCCGAAGGUGGAGCCGGUAACUGGGGUGAAGUCGUAACAAGGUAGCCGUAUCGGAAGGUGCG